rnacentral:rRNA from 1 species
AUUGAACGCUGGCGGCAGGCCUAACACAUGCAAGUCGAGCGGAUGACGGGAGCUUGCUCCUUGAUUCAGCGGCGGACGGGUGAGUAAUGCCUAGGAAUCUGCCUGGUAGUGGGGGACAACGUUUCGAAAGGAACGCUAAUACCGCAUACGUCCUACGGGAGAAAGCAGGGGACCUUCGGGCCUUGCGCUAUCAGAUGAGCCUAGGUCGGAUUAGCUAGUUGGUGGGGUAAUGGCUCACCAAGGCGACGAUCCGUAACUGGUCUGAGAGGAUGGGCGGUCACACUGGAACUGAGACACGGUCCAGACUCCUACGGGAGGCAGCAGUGGGGAAUAUUGGACGAUGGGCGAAAGCCUGAUCCAGCCAUGCCGCGUGUGUGAAGAAGGUCUUCGGAUUGUAAAGCACUUUAAGUUGGGAGGAAGGGCAGUAAGUUAAUACCUUGCUGUUUUGACGUUACCGACAGAAUAAGCACCGGCUAACUCUGUGCCAGCCGCCGCCGUAAUAC